rnacentral:rRNA from 1 species
UGGGGAAUCUUGCACAAUGGGCGAAAGCCUGAUGCAGCGACGCCGCGUGGGGGAUGAAGCUUCUCGGAGUGUAAACCCCUUUCGACCGGGACGAAUACCUCGCAAGAGGGGUGACGGUACCGGUAUAAGAAGCCCCGGCUAACUACGUGCCAGCAGCCGCGGUAAUACGUAGGGGGCCAGCGUUGCUCGGAAUUACUGGGUGUAAAGGGUCCGUAGGCGGUGUAGCAAGUCGAUAGUGAAAUCUCUGCGCUUAACGCAGAGGCUGCUAACGAAACUGCUGUGCUAGAGUGUGAGAGAGGCGAGUGGAAUUACGGGUGUAGCGGUGAAAUGCGUAGAUAUCCGUAGGAACAUCCGAGGCGAAGGCGGCUCGCUGGAUCACAACUGACGCUGAGGGACGAAAGCUAGGGGAGCAAAC